UUUUUAGGGCUGCACCCAUGGCCCAUGGAGGUUCCCAGGCUAGGGGUCGAAUCGGAGCUAUAGCUGCUGGCCUAAGCCACAGCUACAGCAACGCAGGAUCCAAGCCGCGUCUGCGACCUACACCACAGCCCAGGGCAAUGCUGGAUCAUUAACCCACUGAGCAAGGCCAGGGAUCGAACCUCUUGGAUGCUAGUCUGAUUCGUUUCUGCUGAGCCAUGAUGGGAAUUCCAUAUUAGGACAUUUGUACCAGCUUUUCUCUCUGCCUAAAAUGCUCUCCCCCUAAUUUUCUUUCUCAAUAUUUAAGUCUCAUCUCAAAUAUCACCUUCACAUUGAGUCUUUCCUGUCUUCCCUAUACAAAACAGCCAUCCAAAUGUCCCCUUAAAACAUCUCCCUAUUUCAAUUCUUUACAGAGUGUAUAUUCCUAUCUGAUAUUUUUUGUUUUAGUGUUUAUUUUGUUCCCCCCACCCCAGGAUAAUGCAAAAGUUAUGGCAGCAGGAGCCUUGUCUUUUUCACUGUUAUGCGCCUAGAUCUUUAAAGAUUGUCUAGCACAUAAUAGGUGUUAAAUAAACAUUUGUCGUAUAAGUAAAAUUUUUCCCAAGACCUAUGAUUAUGAUUAGGAGCUGCUCUCAUUGAGUCAUUAUUAUAAAAUGUCUUCACUAUGGUUAUUCUUAGCGAGUAGCACUGGAUUUGAUUUUCCUGUUUACUUUUUCUGUCUUCACUACUGGAUAUGACAUUCUUGAAAAUAAUUAUGAGAUUAGGGCCGUGACUGAUGCAUGCAAGGCAGUCAAUCACCAUCUUUGAAUUAAUACAUGAAUGAGUCAAUCAGUCAAUCCAUGAAUCCAUGAAUGAUUAAUGAAUGAGGAAAAGAGGAGAGGUGCCUGCUCUGUCACACAUGUCCUCAUGUGCCUUAUCACACAGGAGGGGCACACAACGAUACAAACAAAGGCAACUGGUAGCAAAUGCAGACAAAAAUAGACUUUGCUAAGCCUGCAUUCUAUAAGGGGGCUGCUUAUGUGACUCUAGUUUUCACCCUGGCAUGUCCGAUAGUUAGGUAGGGUCCACCUGAACUAGGUAUCAUUGUAGAAAAUUACCCUAAGGAUCCUCUGCUUAGAAACUCUGUGAUGAGUACAGAAAGAUUUGUAGGGAAUUUCUAAACCUUCAUUUUGUAAUAAGAACAAGAUAUAGUUCACUAACUAUGCUGAUAUACUAAAAGCCAUUAAAAUACUAAGUGGAUUCUGAUAUCAGUCUCACAUCACCAUGGAAUUAAUAUAAUUGCAUUAGCAUUCAGGCAGCUACAUUUAGGAGAAAUUACUAGGCUUCAGAAACUUUGCUAAGAGCUUGACAGGAGGUGUGCUAUCAUGAUUUAUAUUUCAUAGAUAACAUACCUGAAUUAGAGAAACACCAGGUCACAUGGUUAUCGCAUGGACGAUCCAGGCUAUUAACCUGGUGUUCUGACUUCUAAGCCCACAACCUCUGCACCACACUAGCCUGAAUUAACUAGCAGGGCCAGAGACUGGCCAGACUUUCUCAAGUGGCACUGUCUAGACUCCCUUCUGAAUGGCCUAGUAUAUGUGGCUCCCACCCCAUCAGCUGUCCUCCACUGGGAUAUCAGCAUGUCUUAGGUUUAUUUGAGGACUCUUAUUAUUAAGACUUUAGUCUCUGGCCAAGUACUCAUUCAAAGGACGGCUUUUACUAUACCCUAAAUCCCUACCCAUCUCACUUGUCUUCCCUCCCACAGAUUCUGGGGGUUGCUAUGCACAAGCUUGGUACAGGAGCUCCCUGGCCCUCCACCCUCGGUGCCGUGCAGCUGGCUCUCUCAGCCUCCAUGAUCCCUGCUUUGUAGCUGAGUUUGGGCAAUUGGAUUAGCAUAUUUCAAAGGCUCUUUGCCAUGAAGAUUAAAUAUCUGCUUGAAGUGGAAAGUUGAAGUGACGUCCUCCUUGGACAGAAAAGCACAGAGGCAAUGACAUUCCCUAUGAAAAACCGUUUAAAAUCCCACUUAAGAUGUUUAAUUAUUUCAUACCCAGUUUUGUAUAGAUUACUCUAGAACACUCUGAUAAGGAACAGAGUUUUUUAAUCACAUUUGGUAGAUUCUAAAUUCUAAAUUCAAAACACUUUAAUAAAUGAAAUCACCAGUUACUUUUAUUGCUUCAGAAUUUCUACCCUGCAGUUCACAAUAAGGGCAGCAGUUGUAUCUUUUCUCCAGGCCAUGCUUCCUGGCACUUGGGUCACACAGCAGCACAUGUUGCUUUUCUAUAAUGCUUUUUCCCUUGGCUAUUUGGCCACUUACCAUAAAGGAAGUGAGGACAACAAGGGUAAAAGACUGAAACAUGGGAUUCUGCUACUGUUCUUUUUUUAUCCAAAAAAAAAAAAAUUAAACAGCACAUGCUCUCUACAUCAUAUGUCUUUGCUUUGGGUUCGCAUUUUGGGUAUAUUCAGAAGUACCUAGAUGAAUUCUGGCCAAACUGGAAAGACACCAAGAUAGUUAUCAGUUAUGUCUUCAAGCAGAUACCAGCUUAUUGUUUAAAUGCCGAGUAAAAAGGCACAGGAAUAAGGAGUAGGUUGAAAAGCUUGAAAAAUGCAUCAACAUUUUAACUGCUAAAAUCUCCUACCUCACUAGAUGUAAUAGGAAAACUUCCAAAUGGGGGCCAUGUCACUUUAAGGAAAUUAAGGCCCUAAACAUAGGAGAAACACAGCCAAUCAUGACUCUCAAAAAUAAUUCAUUUCUAUGUUCCUUAGUGCACAAGACAUCACUUAGACCCAAAAAGAAAUAUUAAGCUUCAUGGCGUGGCAGCUGCCAGAAGCCAGUUCCCUUAUCAGUCCAGCAGGAGUGUAAUUAAAGACAAUAGCUGGAGCAGCUGUAUUGAAAAAACAAGUCAUUUGUCUUCCCCCUUCCCCCACCUCUUCUGCUCACGUAGUUAAUCUGAACACAGCAUCAGCUCCAUCAUCAAGCUUCUCAAAAGGCAGAAUAAUGGGAAACAUAUCUGUUUCCCACUGUGGAUUGUGAGUGUUGAAGAAAUACUUGCUCUUAUCUUGCUAUGGCAUUAUAUAAAAUGCAAGCAAUUUAGCCCUGGAGAUUCAAAAGCUCCUGAGAUAGGAGAAUGUUGUUAUUGCAGAACAAGAACAAUUAUCUUCAGGGAUAGGGAGAACCUGAGAAAAUGGCUCAUACACAUUGGGUCUUCUAAAAAAUGUUUAACAGGCUCUUCAGGGGAAAACCUGGAUUUAUAAUAUUUUCCAAUUUCUGUGGUGUAAAUCUUCUCACCAUGACUGAUUUCAAGCUACCAAUACAACAUCACUGAACACCAAGUUGGAAAGAAAUCUACCAUAGGAAACCAUUAAACAGUACUCCUACCCCACAUACAAUAGUAUAGAUAAUAGUAAAAUUACUAGAAAGUGAUGAAUUUUGAGGAUUUGUUACCUUUGAUUUUAAUGCAAUUUAUUGAUUUUGUGUGUCUUUUUUUAGGGCCACACCCGUGGUGUAUGGAUGUUCCCAGGCUAAGGGUUGAAUUAGAGCUGUAGCUGCUGGCCUACACUACAGCCACAGCAAUGCCAGAUUGAAGUCGCAUCUGAGACCUACAACACAAUUCAUGGCAGCACCAGAUCCUUAACCCACUAAGCUAGGCCAGGGAUUGAACCUUCAUCCUCAUGGAUACUAGUCAGAUUUGUUUCUGCUGAGCCACGACGGUAACUCCUGAAAUUUUAUAUAAUUUAAUUUUUAAUAAUCGCUAUGCUUAUUGCCUUGCAGAAUUCCUAAAAAAAAAAAAAAAUCACCUCUCACAGCUGGUCCUAGCUGACUCCAUCCCACCACUAUCUAUACUAUAUGCUGGCUACCACUUUACUAGAAGUAACAAAUAGCUAUUUAGUUAUAACAAGUGAAGGAGAAUGCAUAAUAAUAAUUUUCAUUUUUUUAAAAAUGGAGUUUAGUCAUUUCUUUCAUAGGUCAUAAGAUCUACCUCUCCAGAAUGUUCUCCCUGAAGCCAUAAGAAAGAUCAUCUAGCAACAUGCUUUUGUGAUGUUACUAAAACAAUGAAAAUCCAGGUGCUUUUCAUAAUCAUGAUUGUCGAGAAUGUAUUUUGUAACCCUUUCUUCUUCAUAGGUCUAUGACUAAAUGCUAAUAGGAAACUUUGGCUGAGGCACCAAGAUAAUGAAUGUCACAUUCCAAAUACAAAGCUAUGCUGAGAACUUGUAAAAGAGAUGAUCAAAAAACAGUUCCACAGACUUCCACUUCUGGGAGGAUGGAGUUGACAUAUUUUCCCUGUCCUUUCCAGUAAGUAUGACUAAACAUCUGGACAUUAUAUAUAAAACAAAUGAAAGAAGACUCUGAAAGGUAGAGAGACACUGAUAGACCAGCUAGAGAGUAACACAGAGGUGAGUUUCCUGGCUUUUCUUUUUGCCUCAUAAAUCCCAGAGGAGGAGCUGAAGAAGCCAGCAACCCAGAAACACCAAUGGGCACAGAGUAAGAAGCUCCCCAAGAGCCUUUGCUCUCUAGCCAAAAGACCUUCUAAGGAUGGGACUUGACUGCAUCUUGACUGCAGUCAUGUCAGAAUCCUGGUUGUGAUAUUAUAUUACAGUUUUGGGGAAAACUAGAUAAAGAGUACAUGGGAUCUCUGUGAAUUAGUUCUUACAACUGCAUGUGAAUUUAUUAACUAUGUCAAAAUAAAAAGGUUAAAAUUUUUAAAAAAUUACAUGUCUCCUAUGCCCUCAGCUAUUUCAGUACAUAAAAGGGUCAUAAGUCAGAGAUCAGGAGAUUUUCGGAGAAAGCUGUUGGUGUACCAAGAGAUCUGACCUUGCUCCCAAGAUAGUAAACUAAGGGAUGUUUCCCCCAUGCCUACAAAUCAAAACAGAGGGACUUUAAAGAGACAACUUAAAGAGUUUGAUGUUUGGCUUCUUAGAGAUGGGGAUAUAUAGAAUGACUCCCACCUGAAAAAUCUAACAAGAACUAUCAGCUGCUAAUGGGUUUGAUAGAAAAGUUAAAAUGAGGCACCUGGUAGGGGCAGCCUAUGUCCCCAGAGUCUGUGGAACAAAGGAUAUGUGAUUAUUUCCUGUGGACCAGAUGGAGAUCAUGCACAGGACUAGCACAGGUCUUCUUAGAUCUUGUCCAAGAGAGCCACGUGAAGAAGCAGAAAAGACCUCGGCAGGAAGAAGCCAGCACGCUUCGGAACUCCUAAGGGAUGAGGGAGCUUUCCUAAAUCUCCAUUCAGAGAGAAAUGCCCAUGCCCAUGGAGCAGUGCCUUUUCUCUUUGCGGGGAUCAAAAGCCAAGUUAGCAGCACGGGAGAGGAUGAGCAGAAGCCCUAGGCUGGAAAGAACACACAGACGAUGAUCUGUAAUGUUCACACAUGGAGUGUUCUCAUGUUGCCACAAGCUGGCAAACAUUCAUUAUUAUCAACUCACAAACUGAGCACUCCUAAGAACUUCUCUGAGUGGGGAUUAUAGAUAAUUUAAUUUUUAAUCAUCACAUAAACGGGUCAAGGGUCUUCAUUACUGAAAUGCAUUUUGAAAUUGUUUUUUAAUUAACAUAAUUACAAUAUAAACAGCGAGAAUAAAUUCAUUAAAAUUAAACAAUUCAAUGAAAUUUUUUUCUCUAAACAUACUCUCUGAUGUUGCAGUCUUUUAUUAGACAUACUUUUUAAGGCUUCUCUCUCACUUCCCCUACCGUCCUCACACACUCCUGCUGUGAACCCCAUCCCCACCCCCACUCUCUCCAAAGAGGGGAAAAUCUAAGUUAUAUUCCUGGACACAGAUCAGACCGUAUUUGCUAGUGGGCAGAGCCACCAUGCAUAAAAUGGUCAGCAUAUGAGUGUGCUUUCUCUCUCCUUUCUCUUGCAUAUGAUGCUGAAGUGAUAAGCUGACCAUAUCCUGGUCAUGUGCUCUCUUAGGAUGAUAAAGUGAUUUCGGAAGUAGGAGGGGAAGGAUUGGGAGUUUGGGGUCAGUGGAGGCAAGCUAGUAUGUAUAUGAUGGAAAAACAACAAGGUCCUACUCUAUAUCACAGGGAAUGAUAUUCAAUAUCCUGUGUUACAGGGAACUAUAUGCAAACUCUUGGGAUAGAACUUGAAGGAAUAUAAGUACUAUAUAUAUACAUGUACAGUAUACACUGGCACAACACUAUAAAUCAACUAUACUUCGACAAAGUUUUAAAAAUAAAAAUAUUAAAAUUUUAAAAAUUUUAAACAGAAUUAACUGUAAAAUGAUUGCCAGGAAAUCUUACAGGGGGAGAAAGAAGAUUGUAGAAAAUUACUACACUAUCAUCACAUCUUGUUUCUAUUCCACCCUUUUUUUAAAAAGCAUCAUAGGUUUUAUUUUGUAACCAAUAACUAUAUCAUGCAUAUUUCAAAGUUCUAAUUCUGCUAAUUGUUGUUUCUGGUGACCCUGACUCUAGGUGACUUUUUUCCAUGCAUGUUUUGUACAUUUCAAUUACGAGCUCAUGUUUAGUGCAGCCUCUAAUUUCCAAGCUAACUAACUACAUAAAAGGAGCAUUCCCAUGAUUUACUGGUUUAACAAGUAUGAACUAAAAUGCCAGUUGGACCUCUCAUAGUCUCCACCUACCGGUGGAGCUCCAGAGUCACAGCUCCAGAGUCACAGCUCCAGAGUCACAGCUCCCCGUGCUGGUUGGGGAAAACAGUCAAGGUCCUAGUCAGAAUGAUAACAGCUAAUGCUUACUGGAAACUCAUCAGGAGCGUUUGACGCACAUUACGUAAUCUUCAAACUACCCUGAGGGAGGUACUAUUGUUAGCCCCAUUUCACAGAUGAGAAAGCCGACACGUAUAGAGAUUGACAACGUGCCCAUGAUCACUCUGCCAGUAAAUUGUAGAACCAGAAUUUAAAAUCAUGUCAUCCUUAGACCCCACCACCCAAACUCUUAUCCAUUAGGCUGCAUUGCAGUCACAACGAAAAUGUCAAAGCACUCAGGCUCAGGCAUGAAGCAACAGUAACAACACAAGGCCAACAAGGAAAGGGACUAGACUGAGAUCCUGAGGUCCCUCGUGCACUUGGAUAUAAAAUGCAAGUAGAUAGAUAAGCUGCUGCAGAAACCCACCUCUGGAAAGAUACAGCCAAGGUCCCGUCUGAAGCAGCAUUUAACUCUAAGUUACACAAAACAGAGGCCGAGGCAGCUGCUUCCUCCACCCCCAUUGGAACAGGCUGGGGAGCUAGAACAGUCCUGGGCUUUCUGGAGUCCAGCUGCAGGAAGUUAAGGGAGAAAGUAAAGUCAGAGAAUCUGGGGUGGGGCAGACGGGAAAGCUCAGAAGCCAGUGCGGUUACACUGAGUUUACCCAUAUGCUGAAGCCCACCACGUAGUGCACGCUCUUCAUAGGAUGAGGAAAUAAGUAUUUUCACAGAGUGCCGUGGUAUUUGAAAAUGCCACGGCAUAGGUCUGGAGAACACAGCUCUGCAAAGUGUAUACUUUCUGGAUUUUACCCAGAAGACAAGCUCAGAAGAAGGUCUGUCGAGCUGCAAGCAUGAGAAGCUAAAGGUGGUUUGGCAAUUGAGCACCUGAGUGGUCCUUUUAAGUUGUUAAGUAGAUAGAUGAUCCGAACCAACAAAUGCAAAGGACACUUGUGCCCACUUACUAGCAGAUGCAACCUCUUCUAAAGAAAAGAUAUUUUCAAAAACUCAGACUAAAGAAGAGAGAGUAAAAUUCUUUCAUCUGAACUGAAUGUUAUUCAGACUUGGAAAUCUCAUGUUAACUGUCAAUACCACUCUGUGCCAUCUAUAAAAGUCCUACCUAGAACAAUUAAGAGAAAAAAAAAAAACUGUACACAUUUUUUCCUAAUAACCCAUGUUCUUAUUUCCAUACUAUGGAAAUAAGCAUUAUGUAAUUUUUUUUUGUCUUUUUUUUUUUUUUUUUUUUUGCUAUUUUUUGGGCCGCUGCCAUGACAUAUGGAGGUUCCCAGGCUAGGGGUCGAAUCGGAGCUGUAGCCACCAGCCUACACGAGAGCCACAGCAACAUGGGAUCCGAGCCGCGUCUG
ensembl:lncRNA